CUUGUGCUCCAAAUUUGGAAUGCAAUUUACCCCUUUUUUAAAAUGUGUAUUUGUAUAUGCACUUUUUGUAAUAACAAACUACAGUAUCUGUUUUUAGUCUACUACUAGAACUGAACAAAUUACUACUGAAUUGUAGAUACAUUUUAGUAGGUCAACCAGAGACAGGUUUUGUUAUUUUGAAUAGUGCAUAUACUCCUAUUCAUUAGUAAGUACAUAGCACUUCCAUGUUGGUACAAUAGUAAUACACAUGUAAUUACAGUAGAAUAAUGAUAUAGCAUGAGCAUUACAGUAGCUAUUACCAUACAGGCUGGAAUAGAAUUAUUGGCUUUAGAAUUGUUUCAUAUGCUAUUGUUCAUUAUUUUUAUUUCCCUACAGGAAACCUCAGAGUUCAUCCUAGGCCGAACAACAGCAACAUUGACCUUCCAGCAGAGUCUUUUCAACGGGAAAUGACUCAGGGUCCUCUGAAUCAGGAGCUCUCAAGAAGCAAAGCAGGUGCAUUCCAGGACAAGCAGGCUGCAGACACGUCACCGGAUGAGGGGCCCUCAUCAGAGAUGCCAGAUAUCAUCGCAAAACGAAAGUUCAAGCAACCAAACUUGGAUUUAGAAAACAAGUGAUGCUGUGCCCAACUUCACAGUGUCCAUAACAUCCCCUUGAUCUCUCACACUCCUUUGGCCUAUGGAUACAAUGUUGGUACUUUGGAGUACAAAUAAGCCCAGCUCUUCAGAGCUGUCAUCUUUGAAAUGAAGACACCACAGUCCCUCUCUCAACACUGUCUUUCUUUUAGAUGCUUUCUCUCCAUUUCCAGCUCAAUGACGCGCGUCAUGAACACUCCAUUCUCAGCUUCCAGCACUGGUUGGUGCCAUGUAAUGAGUACCAAAAACACUUGAGAUUCUCCAGCACAUCACUGUGUCCCUUAACUCUCAACAUUUUAGUGACUUUUUCACCAUGAGACAUAGAAACAACUUCAUUAAUAUGGUUAUCUUUUCCUAUUUCUUUCUUUACUAAAUGUAUUGUAUUGUAUUGUAUUUACUGCAUGUGUUGAUAGGGUUAAUAGAUGUUAAAAUGCUAAACAGCUCAAUAAAGAACACUA